rnacentral:snRNA from 1 species
UGGUGGAAGCCCGCAGCG